AUCUGUCGUGGGCGCAGGAAAUUUGAGAGGAGCUGUCCUUAGUACGAGAGGACCGGGAUGGACGCACCGCUGGUGUACCAGUUGUUCCGCCAGGAGCACCGCUGGGUAGCCAAGUGCGGACGGGAUAAGCGCUGAAAGCAUCUAAGCGUGAAGCCCCCCUCAAGAUGAGAUUUCCCAAUUUAGUAAGACCCCUUGAAGACGACGAGGUAGAUAGGUUCGAGGUGGAAGCGCAGCAAUGCGUGGAGCUGACGAAUACUAAUCGGUCGAGGGCUUAUCCA
rnacentral:rRNA from 1 species